rnacentral:tRNA from 2 species
GGAGAGGUGGCUGAGCGGCCGAAAGCGGCGGUCUUGAAAACCGUUGAUCCGCGAGGAUCCCUGGGUUCGAAUCCCAGCCUCUCCGCCA